UACGUAGGGUGCGAGCGUUAAUCGGAAUUACUGCGCGUAAAGCGUGCGCAGGCGGUCUUGCAAGACAGAUGUGAAAGCCCCGGGCUUAACCUGGGAACUGCAUUUGUGACUGCAAGGCUGGAGUGCGGCAGAGGGGGAUGGAAUUCCGCGUGUAGCAGUGAAAUGCGUAGAUAUGCGGAGGAACACCGAUGGCGAAGGCAAUCCCCUGGGCCUGCACUGACGCUCAUGCACGAAAGCGUGGGGAGCAAACAGG
rnacentral:rRNA from 1 species